UAUGUACAGUGGGGCAUAAAAGUAUUUAGUCGUCUUCCACUUAAAACAAUGAGAGAGGUCUGUAAUUUUCAUCAUAGGUAUACCCUAACUAUGAGAAACAUAAUGAGAAAAGAAUCCAGGAAAUCAUAUAUUAUAUUUGGUCUUUACUCUUUACCUCUAACUAUAACCCAGAGCCACCAGGGGCUUUGUUAAAGGUCCCUGCACAUGCAAAAUUCACUUUUUGGACAUUCUGGUACGUUUUUUCGACUCCCUGGGUCACGUUAAGACACUCCUGGUGUGUUAGAAGUACGCCCCCUACUUAUUUCAUAUUUUUGAGAGUUUUUCCAAUCCGGUUCAAGAACCAUCGUUUCAUAUUUGGCGGACUGGAUACGUCUGCAUUCGCGCUGACCAAUCACAGAACCAGCUUCGCCCCCCCCCCCCCGACAAACCUGGAGCCAUAAAUGUACCUGAAACAUUUUGUUUCAGUCCCUCCAGUCACAGACAAAAGAAGAAGUCACUCACUGUGCAGUCUACCAUAGGAGGUGGCGCUAAUGCACCUUUCAGUUGGUUGCCACCCGCCAUUUAAGAGACAAAAAGAAGUCACUCAGGUUGAAGAAGCGCCCCGUUCCUCAAGAAGUUAUCCACCUGCUGCUUCCCCAAACGCUGACGCAUGCCAGCUACCGAAACGCGAGGAGGUUGCUUCUUAAACUGACACGCGGCUACUUUGUAGAAGAGUAGAAGAGUGCUCACCUCAGGAACAAAGAGUGGUGUCAAGGAAAACAGCUGCAUCCUCCAUCUGUACAGCAGCUGCACUGCUUCCCGAUGUCUUCCAACAUCUGAAGACAAAAAAGAUCCUCACAUCUCCCCAGCCAACUGCCCAUGACUGUACCUGUUCCACUCCAGAAACUAUGCUUUCAACAUAACUAUGAAUCCUACCCGUUCAUUUUGUGGUCUGCACAUUGAGCUGUGAAGGAAACACUGCCCUGAUCCAGACUAGGGAAGGUGGGAUGACUUGGACUCUUCGCCCUAGAAGUCCCCAGCACCAGCUGACAAGACUUCUAGGCUAGAUACCUGCAACAACACCUGAGAUACACACAGACAGUACUGAAAAAAACAACAACUACAUUUCUAUUAUUAUAUAUUAGCACUUGAUAUAUCAUACACCUUACUAAAAGCAAUUAAAAAAAUAUUAGUUCAAAAUAUAUAUUUAGAAACAAAACUAUGUUUGUAAACCAGAGUUCCCAGGUACAUUAUGAUUAAUCUGUAAAUAGUAAAAUGUUCUAAAGUUUUUUAUGAAUUUCUGAGAUACUGAUUAUUCCAUGCAUGUGUAAUUGUCUGAUAUACUGUAUAUUAAAUGUGUUCUGUAAUGAAUACACAUUCAAUCAUUACUGGCUCCAGUCCUGGAUCAUCAACCAUACAUGACAGUAGGUUUGGCAAAUAGUUCAGGCGUCUUGAGGUAAGAUUUAUCGAAAUUUAAAUUUGAUAAUAAACACAUGCAAUAUCUUGAAAGCAAUAGUUGCUGUCACACCAUGGCUCUGUAGGCAUUCACUGUUCCUACAUUGGCACUUAAUUACAGACAAAUACGGCAAAAUAUAAGAUGCAGCUGAAGAUCCCAUUAUAGAAAAAAUAUUUUCACACAGCAGCAGAACUAGAAAUAAAAAAACAUGUAAAAAUGAGUUUAUUUUAGUUCAUCAAGCUAUGCUCCCAAACAAGCUGUAGUCCUGUUAUGAAUAUUCUGUUGUAUUAAUUCAGGCUGCUAAUUUGCAACCAUUAGUAUUAGCAUUAGCAGCUAUUCAAGUUGCGUAUUAUAUAAAUCAAAUUAAAUCAAACGUGAAUCUGCCAGUUAGACGUACCUUGCGCCAGUCGAACCUUGCGCCCAUUCGACUGCAGUGUCAGAUUUUGGAUCAAACGUAUGGUUGAACUCCACUAGGAGGACGAGUUAGCCAGUGUCACUGUUACAGUGGAUUCAGUGACCGUGACGUUUGAUUCCCGCGGCGGAUCACGGCUAUGCGCUUCCUCCAAGGGGUGUGGCGAUCAGUUUAGCUUCCGACACACUCCGAAAAUAGAGCGUUGAGGACGAGAGCUUAAAACACACAUUUUCAGACGGGCGUGUGGGCGAUCUACAGCGCUUUUUGGCAUGAAAAGUUACAGACACCUUACUGAGACAUCAAGGUCCAAUUCUUUAGCAAUGUGGAGCAUGAAAAAAGCGUGUGCAUGGAUCUUUAAUAGAGUGUCCCGUAAUCUCAGUCAGUAAAUUGUGAGGACAUGGGAAUCUGGUCAGACUUGGUCAGGAAAAGAACACCUCAGACCUGAGUCUCCAGAAAACUUGAAACCAAAGUUCUCCUUCCAACAGGACAGUUGGGCUAGACUAGAGUUGGCCCAUCCAGGUCCUUCGUUUCCCUGGUCCUUUUUAACCCCUCUAUCCAACCUGAUUCCACUUACUAGGAUUCUUUGUGUGCAAAUUUGUGUUUUUUCAGGAGCACCUACACACUGCUACAGUUUCAAGCGCGUUCUGCUUUGUCUCAUGUAUCUUGUGCACAUGUUCUAGUUCAAAGUCUGCUACUUGGUACUUUGUGUGAUAUCGAACUAGAUGUUUGUCAA